rnacentral:tRNA from 1 species
GAAGGUGUAGUUCAGUGGUUCAGUGAGUGCUUAGCAUGCAUGAGGUCCUGGGUUCAAUCCCCAGGACCUCCG